UACGGGGGGGCAAGCGUUGUUCGGAAUUACUGGGCGUAAAGGGCGCGUAGGCGGUUCGCUAAGUUGGAUGUGAAACUCUGGGCUUAACCCAGAGCCUGCAUCCAAAACUGGCAAACUUGAGUACUGGAGGGGAAAGCGGAAUUCCUGGUGUAGCGGUGAAAUGCGUAGAUAUCAGGAGGAACACCGGUGGCGAAGGCGGCUUUCUGGACAGUAACUGACGGCUGAGGCGCGAAAGCCAGGGAGCGAACGGG
rnacentral:rRNA from 1 species